AGGGAAUCUACAACUCCCCGAAUUCCAUUUACCGCAAUAUCGGCAUUUCGUUCUGUCUCGACGUUCAUUCCCAACACUGGCGACUGAAGUGCCUCGUGUACCCACAAGGGGUCGAUCACGAUCUCGUCUAAAAAAAGCCCGAAGUGCCUCUAAACUGGCCCGCAUCAUCCCGAAAUCUCUUCGAUGUCUUUUGAAGAGACCUUCCCGAGGAUCUUUUACGAAACUCUCCAGUUCCCUCAUCAACUCUUUGCUUUUCUUUUCUAAGCUCUUCGGCUUUACAAGCUCGUUCAGCAAGUACCACGAACUCUUGUAUUUCAAGAACGCCAACGAACAUUUUUAUAUCUUCAUUCAGCCCAUCCUCGAAGCGUUUACACAUAAUAGCUUCGGAC
rnacentral:lncRNA from 1 species